CACUGAUUGUUGCUGCUGCUGAAGUCAAUGGUAGAGCUGACGUCCAAGGACUCCAUAGUCUCAGGCAUUUACUGUAAGCCCCUUGUUAGCUUGGAUGCCUAUUCUACUGCGGACUCUAUCCACCUGAGCAGUUCCUGGCCUGGGGCCUACCGAAUCCCAUGGGUUUGAGAGUUGGUCUCUCACUGCGGUUCUCUCUAGGGGAAAAGAGGACGUUUAGACAGGUGGCAAGGACCUUGGUGGGUGAGGUUUGCUUUUUGUCUUUCUGUGAAUCUGCAGGGAUCUCCGUGCUUGGCAGUACUACUGGACGGGAGUAGUUAAGACCUGAGGGUCGGGCCUGUCUGGACUCAAGGUUCCCUGGGUCCCAGCCCUUUUUAUCUUUGCUGGUAUUUAUUAAGCUGCAUCAGUGCUUCCACUUCCUGUCCAAGGACCACCCGCAAGAGCUGGAGGAGGGUGGGAAGGUGGAUUGUGAUGCGGCUUCCAGCCCCCUAGGAGUGUCCUAUCUUCUCUAGUGCUUGUAUGUGUGUGGGGGAAGGGCCUGAGCUCUAUUCUGCUUUUGAGGAAGAGAAGGUCUCUUGAUAAACAGCUUUGUAAUUUGGGAGGCCUCAAGUACAGGCGUGUGUGGGGGGGAGGUCCUGCAGAGCAGUAGCCGUCAAAAGCACAUCCAGGCAAGCGGGUCAUGUCUGAUGCUGUGCUAUUUAUGUACCGUUUGAUGGCUACAUUUCCCUAAAGAGGCCCCAUGCUUCUGGAGGGAGGGAAGUGGGGGGCGGUCUUGUCCCUGUUCCCAUUUAGCCCAAUGCUAGGCACUUAGCACUUGCUCUUUGGUGCCACGGUCCUCCACUGAGUGUCAGCGCUGUGCCAAGUGUCAUGCUGGGCUUGCUAACUACCAGUGAUGGAGGAGGCUAUGGCCGGGUGGUGGCCUGGGGUCUGUCCUCCCCGCUGAAGGGCCCUUCCCUGCAGGUGGCUUCUUGCCUGGCCCAGCGCCAUGCACACGCUUGUGUUCCUGAGCACACGGCAGGUGCUCCAGUGCCAGCCAGCUGCCUGCCAGGCCCUGCCCCUGCUGCCUCGAGAGCUCUUCCCCCUGCUGUUCAAGGUGGCCUUCAUGGACAAGAAGACUGUUGUGCUUCGAGAGCUGGUGCACACGUGGCCCUUCCCACUGCUCAGCUUCCAGCAGCUGUUGCAGGAAUGUGCCCACUGCAGCCGGGCCUUGCUGCAAGAGCGCCCCAGCACAGAGAGCAUGCAGGCUGUGAUCCUGGGGCUGACGGCCCGGCUCCACACCCCAGAGACAGAGGCUGGCACACAGCCUCUCUGCAGGAAGCAUGCCCUGCGAGUGCUGGAUAUGACAGGCCUCCUGGACGAUGGCGUGGAGCAGGACCCUGGCACCAUGAGCAUGUGGGACUGCACAGCAGCGGUGGCCCGCACCUGCAUAGCACAGCAGCAGGGUGGGACUGCGGAGCCUGGGCUGGCCCCCAUUCCUGUGGAGGUUCGUGUGGACCUGCGGGUGAACCGGGCCUCGUAUGCGUUCCUGCGGGAGGCACUGCGAAGCAGCGUAGGCAGUCCCCUGCGGCUCUGCUGCCGGGACCUGCGGGCUGAGGACCUGCCCAUGCGCAACACUGUGGCUUUGCUGCAGCUGCUGGAUGCGGGCUGCUUGCGCCGUGUGGACCUGCGCUUUAACAACUUGGGUCUACGUGGCCUGUCUGUUAUCAUCCCACAUGUGGCCCGCUUCCAGCACCUGGCCAGCCUGCGGCUGCACUAUGUGCACGGGGACUCCAGGCAGCCUUCUGUGGAUGGUGAGGACAACUUCCGUUACUUCCUGGCCCAGAUGGGCCGCUUCACUUGUCUGCGGGAGCUCAGCAUGGGCUCCUCUCUCCUCUCGGGACGGUUGGACCAGCUGCUCAGCACCCUGCAGAGCCCCCUGGAGAGCCUGGAGCUGGCCUUCUGUGCCCUGCUGCCCGAGGAUCUGCGCUUUCUGGCACGGAGCCCCCAUGCUGUCCAUCUCAAGAAGUUGGACCUUAGUGGCAAUGACCUGUCCGGCAGCCAACUAGAGCCUUUCCAGGGUCUGCUGCGGGCGGCUGCGGCCACACUGCUGCACCUGGAGCUGACUGAGUGCCAGCUUGCCGAUACCCAGCUGCUGGCCACGCUCCCUGUGCUGACGCGCUGCACCAGCCUCCGCUACCUCGGCCUCUAUGGCAACCCGCUGUCCAUGGCGGGCCUCAAGGAGCUCCUCCGGGAUUCAGUGGUGCAGGCUGAGCUACGCACAGUGGUGCACCCCUUCCCUGUGGACUGUUACGAAGGCCUGCCCUGGCCACCGCCUGCUUCUGUUCUGCUGGAGGCUUCCAUCAACGAGGAGAAGUUUGCUCGUGUGGAGGCUGAGCUGCACCAGCUGCUCCUGGCCUCAGGCCGUGCUCAUGUGCUGUGGACCACAGACAUUUAUGGGCGCCUGGCUGCAGACUACUUCAGCCUAUGACCUCCGGGCUGUCCUGGUGUUCAGGGCUGAUGGAGAUCCCUCCCUGCCUUAGGCCCUUCCCAAGAGCAGACUGCCCUGGGGUUGAAGUUGGAACAGGGACCUGCUUCAAGGAGAGCUGGGUCUCCCUACCCUGGCACCCAGGAGACCACCUGGCUGGGCUUUGGAGCCAGAAGGUGUCAUUAAGGUACAAACGUGCAGUGUGU